rnacentral:rRNA from 1 species
UACGUAGGGUGCAAGCGUUGUCCGGAAUUAUUGGGCGUAAAGAGCUCGUAGGCGGUCUGUUGCGUCGGCUGUGAAAACCCGGGGCUCAACCCCGGGCCUGCAGCCGAUACGGGCAGACUAGAGUGUCAGGGGAGACUGGAAUUCCUGGUGUAGCGGUGAAAUGCGCAGAUAUCAGGAGGAACACCGGUGGCGAAGGCGGGUCUCUGGGCAACAACUGACGCUGAGGAGCGAAAGCGUGGGGAGCGAACAGG